ensembl:snoRNA
GUGCACAUUCCAUUGACCUGCUUUCAUUUGUAUAUGUGAGCAGUACUUUUUCUGAUGUGUUAUACAAAUAGUUCAAGGUAAGUUAGCAGUAUAGCUAUAAAGAGUAAUGUUGCCAGUCUCCUUCACUCCUUU